GGGGCUGCCUGGUUUUGACAGCGGGCAGGAGAGGUAUGUAAGCAUGCAGUGCAUUGGUCGGUAGCACUCUAAUCUGACGGAUCAACAAUUAAUUGGCGAAAACAACUACGCUCUCGCUGCUUAAUCGAAGUACAGUAGAUUGAAGCUCAAUCCCGUCACAAGGUGAUGGGACGAGACAUCACCCGGAAGCUCUGGUCCCGAAGCUCGUCGAUACGGUGGUGCAGGUAAAUCGGGAAUCGCCCUAGGAGGCCUCGCUCCAAAGGUUAAAUCUUCAGAGGAUAAGGUUCAGACCGGGUAGCUCCGGCCAAGUCUGUUCACGAAAAGCAAGCGGAGAUAAGCAUGUAGAAAGCAUAUGGCUUCCCCGUUUGGACGAGGGUUCGACUCCCUCCAGCUCCACU
rnacentral:tmRNA from 1 species